AACUUGAAGAACAGAAGGAGGAGACUUAAAGGCUUUACAACACUUUUGAGCUCUUAGAAUCACAGAAAAGAUCAAGAUUUUGGUGUAGGUCUGUAUCUUUUCAGUGCUGAAUGGGUGGGGUAUUUAUAGGCCCCAACCCAGUUCAAAUUUGGAGCUCAAAACGAUCAAAUCCCGAAAUUCCGGGAUCAGGCGGUUGCACCUCUUGACUGGAGAGGUUGCACCGCCUGGCAGAGCUCGAAGACCGAGCUCAAUCAGGCGGUUGCACCUCUUGACUGGAGAGGUUGCACCGCCUGGCAGAGCUCGAAG
rnacentral:lncRNA from 1 species